ensembl:lncRNA
AUGGCUGUCGGUGGAGUGGGCGGUCCGGACCCCCAACAAAUACUAACAUUCUCCCGGCUGACCCAGACUCCUCCAUUAAACAUAAAUGAAUUUGUGAUGGUUGAAUUUGUGCCUCUGUGUGUGAUGUUGGUUACCAUGGCAGCAACAUCAGCCCUCAGAAUCUCUUCUUCUACCUCAUCUUCCCUCCUUAUCUCUCUCUUUUUCUGUCUCUCUCUCCUCCGUGCUGCCUCCAACAGCACCGUGAGCAAGGACACAUUUCCAUGGCACACUUGGUUCCUGGCCAGGCCCGUCAGCUCUUCCAGGGUGACAAACAGAAACGCUACCGUUGGUACUGAAGAAGCAGGGAGGAAGAGGAGGCAUCUGAGAGGACAAAGGUCACAGGUUUAGAAUCAGUCAGCUUGGUCUACAGAAUAACAACAGGAGAUCAUAAACAGCGCUGUGCCCCAUCAGAACAUACAGCAGCCUGAGCCCAUCUUAUGAUGCCCACUCAGAGGUCCCACAGAGCAGCAGGGAUGGAAUCAUCAGCUGAUCAAAGCUGCAGGAGACUGUUCAACAUGUAUUGUACCCAGAUAUCAGAGGGUUACUACUGUGAAAGCUGGAUUCUUAAUGAUUUUUUCUUAUAAUGAUGGUUGUUUUAGUUGGGUCUGGGUUAGGGAGGUGCCAUCUAUGUUUAUUUAUCUUCCCUUUAAAACUGAUGCUAAAAGCAACAAAGUGGUGAAUAAUACAUGCAGUAAUUCAGGGAAUUAUCCUGGGUGAUUGUAGCUUCUGUGUGGAACCCAAUGUGCGACCAAUAAUUUCAAUAAAUUAAUCUGCACAGCUUUAAAAAAAAUAGCACGUGGAACACAACAGAACUUCUCCCUCUGUGGUCAGCAAAGCCACUUGGUGCCUUUGUUGUUCUCCAGUGAGCUCAUGUGAAAAAUUAGGCCAGAUGAUAAAAUGGACUAAUUACCCACACGAUUACCAAAACUCUGCCAAUGGAGGCAAAAACUGUGCUCAGAGUUGGUCCUGUCUAAUAUCUGAAGCAUAUUUGUAGGGAGACUGGCUGUAACGUGCGUAGCUGGAGAGUGAAUGUCCAAAUGGAGCCACAACAGAAGGGCGGAAAUAUUAAAAAGAGGAUUGGGAAAAGAAGAGAUUCUUUCCACAUUCAGAUGGUGUUUAACUGCAGUUCUAGCCUCUCAAAGGGUUUAAUGUUGGAUCAAAGUCUAAAAAUAAAAUUAAUUUAGAGAAAAGUUCAAAGGGCUGACUAUUGUGUCAUUUUAGUUAAAAGGUUAAAAACCUACCUCUUUGAAAAAGCUUAUUGUUACUAAUUCUGUAGUUCCAGUUACUAUCAUAGACAGACAAAUUAUCAUACUUAGGGGGUUGUCUAAUCAUUAGGUUAACAUCUUAGCUAUGCUGUUAUAGGCCAUGGCUCCCGGGUACAGAAACAUGAUCACCCGACAGGCCUCUGUCACCCCACUGGGUCAUCCUCUCCUCUCCUCUCCUCUCCUCUCCUCUCCUCUCCUCUCCUCUCCUCUCCUCUCCUCUCCUCUCCUCUCCUCUCCUCUCCUCUCCUUCCUAUUCUAUCCUCUACCUGUCCUCCCCCUCUCCUCUAUCUCUCCCCAGCUGGCCAUCAGCAGGAGGGUCCCCCUACAUGAGCCUGGUCCUGCUCAAGGUUUCUUCCUGUUAAAGGGGUUUUUCCUUGCCACUGUUGAUUGUCUGGGGUUUGGCCCUGGGAUUCUGGAAAGCGCCUUGAAACUAUUUUGAUUGUAAAAGACGCUAUAUAAAUAAAGAUUGAUUUGAUUUGAUUUGAUUUGGUCAUUUUUUCCAACAUUUCCAAAUGUUGUAAAAUUGUAAUUUAUCAGUAAGAUCAAAUAUAUUCAAUAUAUUCAUUGGUGAUUUUUCACAAUUACAUGCUGGAUCCUUCUUUAAACCUUUCUUCUCUUUGCAACAUUGCAACAUUGAAUAGCAGCUGCACUGUAGUGCUAAAUAAUAGUUACGUCACACCUGAUGAGUGUUGUUUACAGAUGAGACGCCCCACAUAUUCACUUACACUGCCUGUGUUCACCUGCUGAGGUCUGAGUCCCCUGAGAUGGAGGUGUGUGACUGAGGUUACAAAAGAGCCGCCGCAACAUGGGAGGAGGAAACAGAGACCGUGUCACGAGGGGAGGCGUUUAUGGGCUGGAGGCAGCGCCGCCUUAAUUCACUUUGUCUCUUUCAGCUCAGCAGGAAAUGAAAGGUGGAUCCGUAAGACCCCAUUAG